GACGAACGCUGGCGGCGUGCUUAACACAUACAAGUCGAACGGAAAGGCCCUGCUUUUGUGGGGUGCUCGAGUGGCGAACGGGUGAGUAACACGUGAGUAACCUGCCCUUGACUUUGGGAUAACUUCAGGAAACUGGGGCUAAUACCGGAUAGGAGCUCCUGCUGCAUGGUGGGGGUUGGAAAGUUUCGGCGGUUGGGGAUGGACUCGCGGCUUAUCAGCUUGUUGGUGGGGUAGUGGCUUACCAAGGCUUUGACGGGUAGCCGGCCUGAGAGGGUGACCGGCCACAUUGGGACUGAGAUACGGCCCAGACUCCUACGGGAGGCAGCAGUGGGGAAUAUUGCACAAUGGGCGGAAGCCUGAUGAAGCAACGCCGCGUGCGGGAUGACGGCCUUCGGGUUGUAAACCGCUUUCGCCUGUGACGAAGCGUGAGUGACGGUAAUGGGUAAAGAAGCACCGGCUAACUACGUG
rnacentral:rRNA from 1 species